CUGGGAAACGAUAAAGUACUUUAUCAAACAAUCCAUUUUUUUCACUACAUCUUUUACUAUAAAAUACUUAUGUCAACAGGAUCUGCUUUUUUAUUUCUUUUUCCUUAAUUUGGGCGGAGCCGGAUUUUAAUUUGACGACAGCAACGUUAGCUGCCUCGAUGCUGUUGCUCCCAGCUUGACAGCCUAUUAACAACUUGUUUAUCAGUUUACUGGAAUAGCUAUCUGCCCACAUGGACCUAACUAACGAGGUACAUACAUGAGUGUACAUGUACAUACAUGCGGGCCUUAGCUUGAUAUGCAACAAUCGCUCGCGUAGAAAUCAUCCUAACCAUCCGCGGCGUGCAUUUGUGGAAUGAGAGCGAACAAAUGUGAAAGCAGGGCAAGCCGGCAAC
rnacentral:sRNA from 1 species